rnacentral:rRNA from 1 species
UACGAAGGAGGCUAGCGUUGCUCGGAUUGACUGGGCGUAAAGGGCGCGUAGGCGGUUCGUACAGUCAGACGUGAAAUUCCUGGGCUCAACCUGGGAGCUGCGUUUGAUACGUGCGGACUUGAGUGCGGAAGAGGGUCGUGGAAUUCCCAGUGUAGAGGUGAAAUUCGUAGAUAUUGGGAAGAACACCGGUGGCGAAGGCGGCGACCUGGUCCGAUACUGACGCUGAGGCGCGAAAGCGUGGGGAGCAAACAGG